UUGAGUUUUAACUCUGCGGCCGUACUCCCCAGGCGGUCGACUUAUCGCGUUAGCUGCGCCACUAAGAUCUCAAGGAUCCCAACGGCUAGUCGACAUCGUUUACGGCGUGGACUACCAGGGUAUCUAAUCCUGUUUGCUCCCCACGCUUUCGCACCUCAGUGUCAGUAUCAGUCCAGGUGGUCGCCUUCGCCACUGGUGUUCCUUCCUAUAUCUACGCAUUUCACCGCUACACAGGAAAUUCCACCACCCUCUACCGUACUCUAGCUCAGUAGUUUUGGAUGCAGUUCCCAGGUUGAGCCCGGGGAUUUCACAUCCAACUUGCUGAACCACCUACGCGCGCUUUACGCCCAGUAAUUCCGAUUAACGCUUGCACCCUUCGUAUUACCGCGGCUGCUGGCACGAAGUUAGCCGGUGCUUAUUCUGUUGGUAACGUCAAAACAGCAAGGUAUUAACUUACUGCCCUUCCUCCCAACUUAAAGUGCUUUACAAUCCGAAGACCUUCUUCACACACGCGGCAUGGCUGGAUCAGGCUUUCGCCCAUUGUCCAAUAUUCCCCACUGCUGCCUCCCGUAGGAGUCUGGACCGUGUCUCAGUUCCAGUGUGACUGAUCAUCCUCUCAGACCAGUUACGGAUCGUCGCCUUGGUAGGCCUUUACCCCACCAACUAGCUAAUCCGACCUAGGCUCAUCUGAUAGCGUGAGGUCCGAAGAUCCCCCACUUUCUCCCUCAGGACGUAUGCGGUAUUAGCGCCCGUUUCCGGACGUUAUCCCCCACUACCAGGCAGAUUCCUAGGCAUUACUCACCCGUCCGCCGCUGAAUCCAGGAGCAAGCUCCCUUCAUCCGCUCGACUUGCAUGUGUUAGGCCUGCCGCCAGCGUUCAAUCUGAGCCAGGAUCAAACUCUC
rnacentral:rRNA from 1 species